rnacentral:rRNA from 1 species
UACGUAGGGGGCUAGCGUUGUCCGGAAUCAUUGGGCGUAAAGAGCGUGUAGGCGGCCCGGUAAGUCCGCUGUGAAAGUCGGGGGCUCAACCCUCGAAUGCCGGUGGAUACUGUCGGGCUAGAGUGCGGAAGAGGCGAGUGGAAUUCCUGGUGUAGCGGUGAAAUGCGUAGAUAUUGGGAAGAACACCGGAGGCGAAGGCGGGUUGCUGGGCCGAUACUGACGCUGAGGCGCGAAAGCCAGGGGAGCAAACGGG